AUUGAACGCUGGCGGAAUGCUUUACACAUGCAAGUCGAACGGCAGCACGGACUUCGGUCUGGUGGCGAGUGGCGAACGGGUGAGUAAUACAUCGGGACGUGCCCAAUCGUGGGGGAUAACGUAGCGAAAGCUACGCUAAUACCGCAUACGAUCUAAGGAUGAAAGCGGGGGAUCGCAAGACCUCGCGCGAUUGGAGCGGCCGAUGGCAGAUUAGGUAGUUGGUAGGGUAAAGGCCUACCAAGCCGACGAUCUGUAGCGGGUCUGAGAGGAUGAUCAGCCACACUGGGACUGAGACACGGCCCAGACUCCUACGGGAGGCAGCAGUGGGGAAUUUUGGACAAUGGACGCAAGUCUGAUCCAGCCAUUCCGCGUGCAGGAUGAAGGCCCUCGGGUUGUAAACUGCUUUUGUACAGAACGAAAAGGCUCUGGUUAAUACCUAGGGCUCAUGACGGUACUGUAAGAAUAAGCACCGGCUAACUACGUGCCAGCAGCCGCCGUAA
rnacentral:rRNA from 1 species